CGGAAUUACUGGGCGUAAAGCGCGCGCAGGCGGUCGGACAAGUUUGGCGUGAAAGCUCUCGGCUUAACCGGGAGAGGUCGUCGAAAACUGUUUGGCUUGAGGCAGUGAGAGGGGUGUAGAAUUCCAGGUGUAGUGGUGGAAUGCGUAGAUAUCUGGAGGAAUACCAGUGGCGAAAGCGGCACCCUGGCAUUGACCUGACGCUGAAGUGCGAAAGCGUGGGGAGCGAACGGGAUUAGAUACCCCGGUAGUCCACGCUGUAAACGAUGAACACUAGGUGUAGGCGGAGUCAAAUCCGUUUGUGCCGAAGCCAACGCGAUAAGUGUUCCGCCUGGGGAGUACGGCCGCAAGGCUAAAACUCAAAGGAAUUGACGGGGACCCGCACAAGCAGCGGAGCGUGUGGUUUAAUUCGAUGCAACGCGAAGAACCUUACCUGGGCUUGACAUGUACGUAGUAGUGAACCGAAAGGGGAACGAGCCUUCGGGCAGCGUACACAGGUGCUGCAUGGCUGUCGUCAGCUCGUGUCGUGAGAUGUUGGGUUAAGUCCCGCAACGAGCGCAACCCUCGUCGCUAGUUAUACGUGUCUAGCGAGACUGCCGGUAUCAAACUGGAGGAAGGUGAGGAUGAUGUCAAGUCAGCAUGGCCUUUAUGUCCAGGGCUACACACACGCUACAAUGGGCAGUACAAUGGGCAGCGAAAGGGCGACCUGGAGCAAAUCCUAUCAAAGCUGUUCGUAGUUCGGAUUGUAGGCUGCAAUUCGCCUGCAUGAAGCCGGAGUUGCUAGUAAACGUAGGUCAG
rnacentral:rRNA from 1 species